UGAAAGCAGGCCCAGGAGGAGGUUGGAACAGGCUAGAAAGCAGUGAGAGACAGGCCAGGCCGAGUUCAUUCCAGCUGUAGAGAGUUUCAAAGAGAAGAUUUGGUGAUUUAGAGACAGAGAAGACCCACUGAGUUCCCCAGCGGGGAGAGGUGGGGUAGGGAGGGCACUGACUGGACAGAGAUGGGUUAGCUCUGUGCUAAAAGCAUCAUGCUAUGGUCAGACGCACUACUCUCAGAGUAAGAGACUCAGGAAUGCGGACCAAGGAACAGGCAUAAAGCAAGAUGGAGCCACAGAUUGCAACAGGCUGUCACAACACUUCCGGCUAAUCAGAUCCAAUCAGGAAGCGGCAUCAAUGUGGCGAACUCCUGUGGUGUCUUUGGAAUGCUCAGAUAAGGGAAAGAUGGCCAGCUUAAAACGAGCCCUCAUUAAAAGAUGGAUAUUCCACAAACUGAGCUGAACAGGUUCCUGACCACAGCUAUGAGGCAGAGCUGAGCUGAACAGGAGUUGGAUUAAAGUCAUAAGGCAGAAAAAGAGACAGAUGCGAAAUGAAAAGAGAUGCCAAGUUUUCAUUAUGCCCAUGGGCAUCUUCAGGUCUAAGAGUAGCCUCUAAGUCCCUAUUCUGGAAGCAGAAGACACGGGUGAGCGUGGAAGACCCUGGCUAGGGAAAGGGACUGCCAAGGCACAAGACCAAUGCUAAUCCCUGUCAGAGAGCUCAUAGCUUCCUGGGAAAGCACUCCAGCCAAAGAGCAUAGGUGAAGAGCUGACCAGCAUUUCCCCGGAUGGAUGAAGGCUGACCAGCACUUCCCCGGAUGGAUGAGGGCUGACCAGCACUUCCCCGGAUGGAUGAGGGCUGACCAGCACUUCCCGGGAUGGAUGAGGGCUGACCAGCAUUUCCCCGAUGGAUGAGGGCUGACCAGCAUUUCCCCAGAUGGGUGAGGGCUCCAUCCAUGGGUGAGGGCUCCAUCCCUCUGGCCUCCGCUGUUCAAGUUCGUGGCGACGAACUCACUUUGGAACCAGAUGUACACAUCAGCUUCUAGUCCACUGACACCAAGUGCCUGCACGUGGUGUUGGUAGAACGACACCACCCCUUUGACUGGAUCACAGCACAGUGCCCUUGGAAGUAUGCCCAAGACCUACUCAGCCCCCACAUCCCCGUGCCAAAUCUUCCUCCACCCACCACCACCUCAGCAGGCCUUCAGCUGUGGGCUAGAUGCAGCAAAUCUAGUCCAUUUGCCUUAUACUUGGUGACAUUAUCAGACUGGGCUAUUUAUUUCAAGAACGGUUUAGUUUGCCCUCUGAUUUUCUGCGUGAACCUUCUUAUCGCGUGGAGGUGAGUGGUGGAUUCAAAUGUGCAUCAUGGAACAUGUGUAAAACCCUCUGUGUCCUCCGUGGAAGACUCUCUGACCUGGACUUUUUUUCUCACUUUCUCUUAGCAAAUCUACAUUCACUGUGACACAUACACACAUGCACGCGCGCACACACACACACCUAGUACAAAGCACGUAUAAAACACGCAGAAACUGUCGAUGUAGCAUCACACUCUUUGUUGGGAGGGACUGAUGACCUACCUAGGCACACCCUGUGAAGUGCAGACAGGCUGGAAUGAAAACGUGACCAUCAUGACUGAGGAAGACAGUGUGAAGAACCUGGUCUCUGCUGGCAGGCAUUGGGCCCCCCACCGGAUAGUCAUGCCUGCCCGUGUAUCUGCACUGGUGCCUGCCCUGGCAGAAGGGGACCAUUAGAACACUCCUACUAAAAGAGUAGAGAAAAGGGCUCAGCAUCUUCACUGAUGGCCAAUCAGGGAAGCCUCUCCUCCUGGGCAGGCUGUGGCACCAUGGAAGAUGAAGGCUAAGGUCAAAGUUCUUGCAUUGUUCCUGCCUAGGAAAACAGAGCAUCCUUCCUGUCCUCUGUUGUCGGGCACACUCUGACUAGUUCCCUGCUGCCCACGGAGGGCACUUUGGGAGUUUCCUGAGUUUUCCUGCAACACUGGAAGUGUCUGAUCUGGUGCCUGGGUCAUUUGCCUAAAUACUCGAGUGUGGAUCAGAGGAAAUCCUAGAAGGACAUAGCUGGUGGCUCCCAGCUAAACCCCUGCCCUCGGAGCUGUAAAAACUGAUAGCCUUGCUCAGCCUAGCUAGAGUGCAGAGGACCUUAGUCCCGCCUCAAAGCAAUGUGCUAGACUUUGCUGACUCCCCAUGGGGAGUCUUACACUCUCUGAGGAGUGGAUGGGUGUGGGAUGGGGAGAAGAUGAAGGGAACGAGAGGUGGGGAGGAAGUGGGAACAGGGAUCAGUAUGUAAAAUUUCAAUUAAAUAGUAAUAAAAAUUAUAUCCUCUAAGCACUGAGACAUGGAGCCUAUGCCUGACAGUUUCCCCACUGUAAAAUACAAAGACUCUUUUAGGAAAGUGGAUUAAUGGGUGCCUGGGGAUGAGGAUCAGGGAGAGAUGAAAGGGACAGAUCAAGAAAGAGUGUGAGCAAACUCUUGUGACAAAGACGGCAUCUCUCUUUUUUCUCAUGAUGGCUAUGUGUGAAUACACACAUGAAACCUCGCUGUGUGGUGUGCAUCAUGUUUACUCAGCUCACAGAGUAUAUAUAAUAUCUCAAUAAAGCUGUUUGAAAACAUA